rnacentral:rRNA from 1 species
GACGAACGCUGGCGGCGUGCUUAACACAUGCAAGUCGAACGGUAAGGCCCUUCGGGGUACACGAGUGGCGAACGGGUGAGUAACACGUGGGUGAUCUGCCCUGCACUUCGGGAUAAGCCUGGGAAACUGGGUCUAAUACCGGAUAGGACCACUGCCUGCAUGGGUGGUGGUGGAAAGCUUUUGCGGUGUGGGAUGGGCCCGCGGCCUAUCAGCUUGUUGGUGGGGUGAUGGCCUACCAAGGCGACGACGGGUAGCCGGCCUGAGAGGGUGACCGGCACACUGGGACUGAGAUACGGCCCAGACUCCCACGGGAGGCAGCAGUGGGGAAUAUUGCACAAUGGGCGCAAGCCUGAUGCAGCGACGCCGCGUGAGGGAUGACGGCCUUCGGGUUGUAAACCUCUUUCAGCACCGACGAAGCGCAAGUGACGGUAGGUGCAGAAGAAGGACCGGCCAACUACGUGCCAGCAGCCGCCGUAA